AAUAUGCUGUCAAAUCCAAAAAUUAAUAUUUACACUGUAUCGGGGGUGGGUUGGGGUCAACUGUUCAGGUUAAGAUUACAGGUAAGUGUUAGAUUUCCUACCUGUGGCAUUGGUGUGUUUCUCAUAUGCAUAUACAUGUAUAAGGAAGCUGAUGAGAUCUUAAAACAUACUGUGUUGGUGUCCUUUGGCAAGACACUUUACCCAAUUACACUUCAUUGCCUGCAUCAAGCCUCCAUUAUAUUGUUUACUGAAGAAGCCACCAACUACUACAAGGAGAAUUUCUAAAGAUUACCCUGGCUGUUCAUAAGGUGAUAAACCCCAUCAAGCAUAAGAAUUUAUAAAUCAGAUAUUGACAGAUCUGUAGAUACAUGUUAUGUAGCUUAGUUGGUAAAGGCUGAAGAAUUACACUGAUACAACCAAGUAAAGAUCCCAGAUGAUUUGAUCAUAAAUGAUGUGUUUAUCAGUAACCCGAGAUAUUGCCUGUCAGGGUAAUGUGAUUGGGCAAAUGUAAAACUAUCCUCUUUCUGCUGUUUACUAGUUUAGUAGGGUAGCCAGUAGCUAUAUAUUGGAAAUCAAUGGCUGUUUCACAUGGUGAUAAACCCAACAUGUCUUGUAUUUAACAUAAUGAAUAUGUAACAGUGUCAUUAUUUAAUGACAUUUGGGUAUUAUUUAGAUUUAUCCAUUUUUGUACUACUGUGCAUGUACAGGCUCCGUAUUUAUCAUAUGUAUAUGUGUACGCAGUUGUAUCGUAUGCUAUUUAUAUAUAUAUGUAAACCUGUUUAACAGGUCAGAGGUCAGAGUUAUUUUUAUAGUAGAGUGACCAUGGGUCAAUGCGCACCCGCGCUUUUUAGGGUAGCGUCACUCCCGUACUAGGCACCGUUGUGAGUGGACGUGUAUAUGUCGCGUCUAUAUAUUUAGCGCAUCCGUGUUGUACCAAUCUACAUCACUCAUUUAUAUGCGCUGUAAUAUUGUACGGGUUGUCUCCCCGGGAGUCGAGCCCUCUUCGUCAAAUGAAGAGGUAGGUUUUUUAUAUGGCUCCAUUUAUAUUGUGUUGGUAGCAUCAUUUUUAAGAAUAUCCAUGUACAUGAGAAAUUGUCAUUGUUUGUAUAAGCGUUACGCACUUGCUACUUUGUCAGAUCUGUAAUGUGCAUAGUUCAGUAGUAGUUGUAACGUUUAUGAUUACGCCUGGGUUAGUAGGUGUUCUUGAAUCUUAGGUUCUAAGCGUUAUGCUUCCGGUUGCGUCAGGUGCGUACACCUGUCGUGUUAUUGUGGGAUGGAUUAUUCCACUUUGAGAUUGUAACUAUUUUACUUAUUGUUGUUAUUUGUUAUUUUAGGGUGUUUUAUGGACUAAUAAAUUAUGAAUUGGAA